rnacentral:rRNA from 1 species
ACUGCUCAGUAACACGUGGAUAACCUGCCCUUGGGUCCGGCAUAACUCCGGGAAACUGGAGAUAAUUCCGGAUAACGCACAUAUGCUGGAAUGCUUUAUGCGUAAAAUGGAUUCGUCUGCCCAAGGAUGGGUCUGCGGCCUAUCAGGUAGUAGUGGGUGUAAUGUACCUACUAGCCUACGACGGGUACGGGUUGUGAGAGCAAGAGCCCGGAGAUGGAUUCUGAGGCAUGAAUCCAGGCCCUACGGGGCGCAGCAGGCGCGAAAACUUUACAAUGCGGGAAACCGUGAUAAGGGGACACCGAGUGCCAGCAUCAUAUGCUGGCUGUCCAGGUGUGUAAAAUACACCUGUUAGCAAGGGCCGGGCAAGACCGGUGCCAGCCGCCGCGGUAACACCGGCGGCCCGAGUGGUGAUCGUGAUUAUUGGGUCUAAAGGGUCCGUAGCCGGUUUGGUCAGUCCUCCGGGAAAUCUGAUAGCUCAACUAUUAGGCUUUCGGAGGAUACUGCCAGACUUGGAACCGGGAGAGGUAAGAGGUACUACAGGGGUAGGAGUGAAAUCUUGUAAUCCCUGUGGGACCACCUGUGGCGAAGGCGUCUUACCAGAACGGGUUCGACGGUGAGGGACGAAAGCUGGGGGCACGAACCGGAUUAGAUACCCGGGUAGUCCCAGCCGUAAACGAUGCUCGCUAGGUGUCAGGCAUGGCGCGACCGUGUCUGGUGCCGCAGGGAAGCCGUGAAGCGAGCCACCUGGGAAGUACGGCCGCAAGGCUGAAACUUAAAGGAAUUGGCGGGGGAG